GGGUAUAUAAGGCGGACCAGAAGUAGGAAGGGCACAUUGUCCUUCUCAGAGACACGAAAACGACUCUUUCUCUCGACCCCAAGAUGAAGCUGAUUUCAAUGCUGAUGGCCCUAGUUGUGGCCCUGUCUGGCCUCCUGGGUUCAGCUCGCGCUAUGCCUGACCCCUUCCCCGUUGCUGACCCCGUGGCUGACCCUGACCCCGCGGCUGACCCCUGGUUCUUUAGGCGCAGGCACCACUACCCACACUACCACCACUACCCCCGCUAUCAUCACUACCACCACCACUGGUGAAAAUGUAGCUCAGUAUAUUUGGUUCCGAUGAACUUACGCAUCCAUAUAUGAUUUAUGUAUUCGACAAUCUUGUCUUUAUAAAAAUAAAACCCUGAAAGAGG